GUCUUAUUGAUUAUAAUUUUAAGUCUAAUCUGCCCAAUGAUAAAUUAAAUGGCUGCAGUAUUCUAACUGUACAAAGGUAGCAUAAUAAUUAGUUUCUUAAUUAGGAACUGGAAUGAAUGAUUGGACGAAAUAAUAACUGUCUUGGUUUAAAUUUUAGAAUUUUAUUUUUAAGUUAAAAAGCUUAAAUUUUUUUAAAAGACGAGAAGACCCUAUAGAAUUUUAUAUUAUUUAAAUUUUUUAUUAUUGGUAAUUUUAUAUAGAGAAUUAUAAAAAGUAUUUAGUUGGGGUGACUGAAAAAUUUAAUUAACUUUUUUUUAUAUUUAACAUUAAUGUAUGAUUUUUUGAUCCAUAUUUUUUGAUUAUAAGAUUAAAUUACCUUAGGGAUAACAGCGUAAUUUUUUUAGAGAGUUCUAAUCGAUAGAAGAGAUUGCGACCUCGAUGUUGGAUUAAAGUUUAUUUUUAAUGUAGGAGUUAAAAUAUUAGGUCUGUUCUACCUUUAAAACUU
rnacentral:rRNA from 1 species